ACCCACUCCAGUGUUCUUGCCUGGAGAAUCCCAGGGAAGGGGGAGCCUGGUGGGCUUCCAUCUAUGGGGUUGCACAGAGUCGGACACGAUUGAAGCGACUCAGCAGCAGCAGCAGCAGUAAAUGAAUGCAGAGGCCUUGUGAGUUAUGAAUAAAUCUAUACUGGAAGACAAUAUCACAAGAGCAUUGAUAUACACUUUGGAGUCAGACAAACCCGAGCAGAAAUCAUAGUGAAAGCUUAGAUCUGGACCAGACUGGGCCAAUCUCUACUGUGUCUGUGGAGUGGGAGAAGUGCCUGGACAUGGAACUACUGACUGGUUCCAAAUUGGGAAAGGAGUACCUCAAGGCUGUGUAUUGUCACCCUGCUUAUUUAUCUUAUAUGCAGAGUACUUCAUGGCAAAUAGAUGGGGAAACAAUGGAAACAG